rnacentral:lncRNA from 1 species
AGAGUCUAAUUUUAUAAAACAUCAGACAAAACAUUCUCUUUCUCUCAAUUAGCAGAAGUACACCUGUUUGUCUUUGCUGUGUGAGCAUCUGCAUUAACUUGACCAUGUCUCGUUCUUCACAUUGACGAUAACCAGAGAGAAUGCCUGCUGGAGGCCUGAAUAAGAGGUUUUUAUUCCUUGUGCUUCAUGCUGGGAACAAAGAUGAGGAAGUAAAGAAUGAG